rnacentral:lncRNA from 1 species
GGGACCGGAAAGCAUAACGUAAGUCGAGGUACCUAUAGAUUCCCAAAUCUAAUUUCAGGUACUGUACAUACACAUAUAUGCAUUAUCUAAUUGCGAAACAAACAAGUAGGCGAGGAGGCAGAAUGAGAACUUAUGUGUCUCCGAAUUUACAUAAGUCGGGAUAUUAUGGUAUAUUUCUCAUAAACUGUUACCGCUGAAGAUAACUUCUGAAAAUGAUGGAAAAUAUAUCUAAGUACUAGAAUAACUUUGUUUUGAUCUGAUUCUAUUUUUAGAUUAUUUUGAUUUCUUUGCUUUCAAUUUUUUAUAUUUUUUAUGGCAAUUUUAAUUUAUUAUAUUUAUUCAGAAGAGCAGUUAUUUUGAAUUUCUACUUUUCUAUGCCUUAUUCAAAAAAAUCAAAUGGGAAGUGAUAGCAUUAUUAACAGAAAAAUACUACUGUUUUUUUUUUAUUAUUAUUAUCCCAAAGUAUUAAUUACACAAGGUCAUGGAGGUUGCAGGAAAAUUACAGUACAAUAUAGGAAAGAAGAUGCUAAACAAUUACACAAUCUCCAUGAUGGGUAAGGAUGCUGCUGUCGUUGGUUGGUUAUUCAGGGGGCACCACGUGAAGGUGACAGUCAGACUUUGCCCCCCAUUACUGUAUUUAUUUCCAUAUUCGGAAACAUCUUUUUACCAUUCUCAAUGUUCUUUUCAGUGGCAACGGUUUAUGUUAAUUAUAAUUUUUAAUUUCGCGUUUGACCAUUCCAAGAUUUGUAUAUGUGCAUGUUCUUGUGUUUAUACAUAAUAUCCAAUCAAAAAUAUUCUAAUAUGUAAAAAAUAAGCCAAGUGUAAUAUUAUGAAAUUGGGAUAUUUGUUGGAAUUUGGAUUUGACUAGUUUGGUU